rnacentral:rRNA from 1 species
CCUACGGGAGGCUGCAGUGGGGAAUAUUGGACAAUGGGCGAAAGCCUGAUCCAGCCAUGCCGCGUGUGUGAAGAAGGCCUUCGGGUUGUAAAGCACUUUCAGUGGGGAAGAAAGCCUUGGGGCUAAUACCCUCGAGGAAGGACAUCACCCACAGAAGAAGCACCGGCUAACUCCGUGCCAGCAGCCGCGGUAAUACGGAGGGUGCGAGCGUUAAUCGGAAUUACUGGGCGUAAAGCGCGCGUAGGCGGUCUGAUAAGCCGGUUGUGAAAGCCCCGGGCUCAACCUGGGAACGGCAUCCGGAACUGUCAGGCUAGAGUGCAGGAGAGGAAGGUAGAAUUCCCGGUGUAGCGGUGAAAUGCGUAGAGAUCGGGAGGAAUACCAGUGGCGAAGGCGGCCUCCUGGACUGACACUGACGCUGAGGUGCGAAAGCGUGGGUAGCAAACAGGAUUAGAUACCCCAGUAGUC